UUAACUCAAGUUUCUAUGGAGUUUGAACGUUUGCCUACGACUGUCACUAGGGGCGCUGUUCCAACUCCAUACAAAUUUGAGUUA
rfam:Bombyx mori DNA, contig: Bm_scaf89_contig34221, strain: p50T/Dazao, build 2, whole genome shotgun sequence.